UGUUGAUCCAGGAAAUGCAUUUCUUGUUCCGUCACCAUACUACCCUGGAUGGGACAGGGACAUAAAAUGGCGAACUGGUAUUGAGUUGAUACCCGUUCCUUGCCGGAGCACCGACAACUUCAACAUCAGUAUCACUGCUCUAGAAAUAGCCUAUAACCCUUUCAUUUGCUUAGCUCCCGAGUAGAAUUUAUAGGUUUGACUGAAUUGUUUAGAGGAAUGGCGAUUCGUUGCUGGUGCAGAGUCAGGAGUGCUUGGAGAAGGUUGCCAAGACGGUCUCCUUCCUCGCGCAGCCUGAAGGCUCAUUCCUGCUGUUGCUCACAAGGGAAGUUCAAAAGGACCGCGCGCUGGAGCUCCUAAACGUGCGCCCCUUCUACUUCGUUUACUUAUGUGGCGUGAAGACAUAGAGCAAACCUUUGGAGCCAUAGUUGUCUUUUUUGUCAUCUAAAAUAAUAAUGGUAACAUAUUAAUACAAACAAAAUAAUAUUCUAGCUCAAAAAAUUGUAUGUGAAUAAUGAAUGGAUGCUAUGGAAAUAUAUUUGU